rnacentral:snRNA from 1 species
CAGUGUUAUAGCUCUUUCAGAAUUUGUCUAGCAGGCUUUCCGGGUUUUACCAGAAAGCCCCU